GGAGUUGGGGUUUGCCAUGGGCGCAGCCUGAUGCAGCCAUGCCGCGUGUGUGAAGAAGGCCUUCGGGUUGUAAAGCACUUUCAGUCGUGAGGAAGGUGGUGUAGUUAAUAGCUGCAUUAUUUGACGUUAGCGACAGAAGAAGCACCGGCUAACUCCGUGCCAGCAGCCGCGGUAAUACGGAGGGUGCGAGCGUUAAUCGGAAUUACUGGGCGUAAAGCGCAUGCAGGUGGUUAGUUAAGUCAGAUGUGAAAGCCCGGGGCUCAACCUCGGAACUGCAUUUGAAACUGGCUGACUAGAGUACUGUAGAGGGGGGUAGAAUUUCAGGUGUAGCGGUGAAAUGCGUAGAGAUCUGAAGGAAUACCGGUGGCGAAGGCGGCCCCCUGGACAGAUACUGACACUCAGAUGCGAAAGCGUGGGGAGCAAACAGGAUUAGAUACCCUGGUAGUCCACGCCGUAAACGAUGUCUACUUGGAGGUUGUGGCCUUGAGCCGUGGCUUUCGGAGCUAACGCGUUAAGUAGACCGCCUGGGGAGUACGGUCGCAAGAUUAAAACUCAAAUGAAUUGACGGGGGCCCGCACAAGCGGUGGAGCAUGUGGUUUAAUUCGAUGCAACGCGAAGAACCUUACCUACUCUUGACAUCCAGAGAACUUAGCAGAGAUGCUUUGGUGCCUUCGGGAACUCUGAGACAGGUGCUGCAUGGCUGUCGUCAGCUCGUGUUGUGAAAUGUUGGGUUAAGUCCCGCAACGAGCGCAACCCUUAUCCUUGUUUGCCAGCACUUCGGGUGGGAACUCCAGGGAGACUGCCGGUGAUAAACCGGAGGAAGGUGGGGACGACGUCAAGUCAUCAUGGCCCUUACGAGUAGGGCUACACACGUGCUACAAUGGCGCAUACAGAGGGCUGCCAACUUGCGAAA
rnacentral:rRNA from 1 species